UGCCACACCUGGCAAUGGGCAAAGAGUCACCUUGUUGGUGGGGUUGCUCUUACAUAAGGCAGGGACAGAGCAGAUGGCAGUCCUUUGUUCAUCCUAGCUUGAUGCCUGGCUUGGUGACCAAAGAUGUUUUAUGGCUGAGACUCAUAA
rnacentral:snoRNA from 1 species